rnacentral:rRNA from 1 species
UCAAAGAUUAAGCCAUGCAUGUCUCAGUAUAAGCAACUUGUAUGUGUGAAACUGCGAAUGGCUCAUUAAAUCAGUUAUAAUUUAUUUGAUAGUGAUUUACUACAUGGAUAGCCGUAGUAAUUCUAGAGCUAAUACAUGCUUAAAGACCCGACUUACGAAGGGUUGUAUUUAUUAGAUCGAAAACCAACACGGGUUUGAGGGUGGGGCAACUCAUUCUCUUCCGAAUUUUUGGUGAGUCAUGAUAAAUGUCGAAUCGAAAUUUUUUUUCGAUGUGUCAUUCAAAUUUCUGCCCUAUCAACUUGACGGUAGGAUAGGGGCCUACCACGGUUUUGACGGGUAACGGAGAAUUAGGGUUCGAUUCCGGAGAGGGAGCCUGAGAAAUGGCUACUACUUCUAAGGAAGGCAGCAGGCGCGCAAAUUACCCAAUCCCAAUCAUUUUGGGGAGGUAGUGACAAAAAAUACCGAUGCUUGGGGUCAUAUGGCCUCGGUAAUUGGAAUGGUUUGGAAGCAAAUCGUCCAUGGAGCAGCCAUUAGAGGGCAAGUCUGGUGCCAGCAGCCGCGGUAAUACCAGCUCUAAUAGUGUAUACUAAAAUUGCUGCAGUUAAAAAGCUCGUAGUUGGAUUUCGGAUGGAACGUUAUACCAUCAUGUGCUAUUCAUCUGGUUGUGUACUCCUUGUUACUUAAGGGGGUACAUGACUGUUGAGUAGUCAUGGUGGUUGUUUCGUCCGGUAUUUUUCGAAAUUGCCUGAUCCCCUUCAUUGGGCGAUGGGGUAAGUUCGGAGGAUUUACUUUGAAGAAAUUGUAGUGUUUAAAGCAGGCGUUUCGCAGCUGAACACAUUAGCAUGGAAUAAUAAAAUAGGACAUCUGAGCAGGUACCUUCCAUGUUGCCUCUCUUGAUCUUUUUCAAUCGGUGCACAACUUCCUUUGCCCUCUUCUCGGGGGGUUAGGGGGGGUUUGCUUUGUGCCGGUUGGGAUUAAGGGGUAUCGGGGGCGUGGUGAUUGGGCCUUGCUAUACUUUAGUUAUAUCUAUUUUGUUGGUUUUUGGAGAAGGUGUAAUGAUUAAUAGGGACAGUUGGGGGCAUCCGUAUUGCAUUGUCAGAGGUGAAAUUCUUGGAUUUAUGCAAGACGAACUAAUGCGAAAGCAUUUGCCAAGGAUGUUUUCAUUAAUCAAGAACGAAAGUUAGGGGAUCGAAGGCGAUCAGAAACCGCCGUAGUCUUAACUAUAAACUAUACCAACUAGGGAUUGGAGAGUGUCUAACAAUGGCCUCGUCAGCACCUUUAGAGAAAUCAAAGUCUCUGGGUUCUGGGGGGAGUAUGGUCGCAAGUCUGAAACUUAAAGAAAUUGACGGAAGGGCACCACCAGGUGUGGAGCCUGCGGCUUAAUUCGACUCAACACGGGGAAACUCACCAGGUCCAGACACGGGAAGGAUUGACAGAUUGAUAGCUCUUUCUUGAUUCUGUGGGUGGUGGUGCAUGGUCGUUCUUAGUUGGUGGAGUGAUUUGUCUGGUUAAUUCCGAUAACGAACGAGACCUUAACCUGCUAAAUAGCUCAGUCUCAAGGGUUUCUUUUGAGAUAUUAUUAUAAGAGCUUCUUAGAGGGACUACCAUGGUCGCACAUGGUGGAAGCUUGAGGCAAUAACAGGUCUGUGAUGCCCUUAGAUGUCCUGGGCCGCACGCGCGCUACAAUGAUGCAUUCAACAAGUUUGUGCUGGGUCGAAAGAUUCUGGCUAAUCUUCUGAAACUGCAUCGUGCUGGGGAUUGAUCUUUGUAAUUUUGGAUCAUGAACUAGGAAUACCUAGUAAGUGCAACUCAUCAGGUUGCGCUGAUUACGUCCCUGCCCUUUGUACACACCGCCCGUCGCUCCUACCGAUUGAAUGAUCAGAUGAAAUGCUCGGAUUCGCGAGCUGCGGCCCUUCGGAGUCGCGGACCGUGAAAAAGAGUAGUAAAUCUUAUUAUUUAGA